rnacentral:rRNA from 1 species
AGGAAGUAAAAGUCGUAACAAGGUUUCCGUAGGUGAACCUGCGGAAGGAUCAUUAAUGAGUUUUGAUUGGGGGUUGAUGCUGGCAGCCAAUUCUUUUGUCUGCAUGUGCUUGCCCCUAAUAAUCUUUAUCCAAACACCUGUGCAUGAUUUCGAGGGUUUCCGAGUUGAUUGUCUUCUCGGAUCCCCUUGGAUUUCCCACUUUUAUACACCGCUUGCAAUGUCGAAUGUGCUUCGUGCCGCAAGGCCAUUAACGAAAUAUACAACUUUUAACAACGGAUCUCUUGGCUCUCGCAUCGAUGAAGAACGCAGCGAAAUGCGAUAAGUAAUGUGAAUUGCAGAAUUCAGUGAAUCAUCGAAUCUUUGAACGCACCUUGCGCUCCCUGGUAUUCCGGGGAGCACGCCUGUUCGAGUGUCGUGAAAUUUCUCAAGCUGAGAUGUUUUUCUUAGUCUUGGUGUUGGGCCCUGCCGUGUCUCUUAUUGGGAUGGCUGGCCUUAAAAGUAUUAGCUGACCCUUAUGUGGGCAAUUGGUUCUACUCAGCGUGAUUAAUGAUUUUGACCGUUGAGGACAUCUUUGGGGAUGGCCAGUUCUCAUUUGGGUUGCUUCUAAUCUUGGUUGUACGGAUUGUUAAUCUGUGCACCUCGUUUUUCAGUUUUGACCUCGAAUCAGGUGGGACUACCCGCUGAACUUAAGCAUAUCAAU